rnacentral:rRNA from 1 species
AUGGCUAGUGCUGCUAAUCUCAAUGGCAGAGUCAUGAGAUCGACUCCAACAGUUGCAUCAUUUUUGGCAAAAGAAAUAAUAAGUGUGACAAGCAAACCCAUCCGUGAUCCCUCAAAUAAAGUCAAAUCAUCCCGGUCGACCUCGUUCUCUUGUCUUCUCGAAGAAUCCUCUGCGAGUCGGGAUCAACCUCCACGGUCCCAUACGCGUGCUUCCUCUUUUAGAGGUGCGGAGUGCAUGGCCGGCGGCGAAAACAUGACGACUGUGUUGGUGUCGGCGGAGGCGGACAUGGACCUAGAGUUAUCGUCUCGCGUCGGGGUGCCCAACUUUGAGUUCGCCUUCAAUUCGGAGGUCUUCUCCAACAUGGUGAUGCAGAUAGAGGUUGCCACCGGCGGCGACGUCGGUGGAGGGUCCUCUCCUCUCAGGCGAUGA